AAUGAACGCUGGCGGCAUGCCUAACACAUGCAAGUCGAACGGGAGCACAGUAAGAGCUUGCGCUUACGGGUGGCGAGUGGCGGACGGGUGAGUAAUACAUCGGAAUCUACUUUGUCGGGGGUGAUAACGUAGGGAAACUUACUCUAAUACCGCAUACAUCCUACUGGUGAAAGCAGGGGUUCUUCUGACCUUUCGCUAUUGUAUGAGCCUAUGUCGGAUUCGCUAGUUGGCGGGGUAAAGGCCUAACAAGGCGACGAUCCGUAGCGCGUCUGAGAGGAUGAUCAGCCACAUUGGCACUGAGACACGGUCCAGACUCCUAAGGGAGGACGCAGUGGGGAAUAUUGGACAAUGGGCGAAUGCCUGAUACAGCACUACCGCGUGAGUGCAGAAGGACUUAGGGUUGGAAAGCCCUUUUGUUGGGAAAGAAGAGAAGCAGGUUAAUCCCCGGAUGUUCUGACGGUACCCAAAGAAUAAGCACCGGCUAACUUCGUG
rnacentral:rRNA from 1 species